rnacentral:rRNA from 1 species
UACGGGGGGAGCAAGCGUUGUUCGGAUUUACUGGGCGUAAAGGGCUCGUAGGCGGCCAACUAAGUCAGACGUGAAAUCCCUCGGCUUAACCGGGGAACUGCGUCUGAUACUGGAUGGCUUGAGAUUGGGAGAGGGAUGCGGAAUUCCAGGUGUAGCGGUGAAAUUCGUAGAUAUCGGGAGGAACACCGGUGGCGAAGGCGGCGACCUGGGGUAGAUACUGACGCUGAGGCGCGAAAGCGUGGGGAGCAA